UUCUACAGCCAGAUAGGAGUCUGAGACUGAAGAACUGCCAAGAACCUGGCAGGCCAGCUAGCCUGGAGUACUCAGCACAGCAGGAGAAAUAGAGAGCCUACGUGGAAACUAUUGCUGUAGUCAAGGCCACCAUCAUCCCGUCUACAAAUGACUACAAAAAUCUCCUACACGGAUUUACUGCCAACAGUGUUUGUUAUAGACUAUCAGAAGAAUAAACACGGCUCAGUGACUUUGCUCCCUCUUCCAAGGAAGAAAACAAACAAAACCAGAACCCCACCAAGUCAGGCCGAUGAACAAACGCUUGAAAAAUAGAGUUCCCACAGCCUUGUUCCUUCAUCGUAGGAUGACCUUUAACCUCAGCACGGAGCCUGGAUCGACCUGAACUUGCCACUCUCUGUCAUUAGACUCUCAAGUUCUGGGACCAUGGGCGUGUGUCACCGUGUCCAAUUUCUGUAGUUUUAUGAAAACUUUAAAUUGUGAAAUAUUAGUGCAUCGCCUUGAAUCCAAAGAAGUCAGUGCGCAUGCUUCUGUGUACUUUGGACCUGCUUUAAUUAUAGGCCUCCCUAUGUGUCACUGUCAUGAAAUCCAGCGAGCCAAAGGUGAUGCACACUUUCCCCUGUGGCUUCCAAACCUGCCACAUCUGACUUGGGAUUCUGGGCUAAAGCCAGCGUUCCAAGGAGAGUUGGGAACCACUGGGGAAUUCCAGCACCCUGGGAGAGAGAAGCUGCAGUCUUUAAAACAAGACUGCUGAGUCACCCCGCUUAGAUCUGUACCCUCUCUCUCUGACUCUUCUUUAGCUCACUGCUGUGACAGUCACCCAAGGGCAUUUUGUUGGCAUUGAGUGGGAAUGGGGGCAAGAGGAGAACAGCAUGGCUUGGACAUGGGAUAAGAAUGCAUCAAAACAUUUAGCCCGUCACACCUAAUGUCAACCCUAUCAGCCUUACUAAAAGUGAUGCAUAGAGGCCACUUGUCACAUAAGGAAAGUGGAAGCUGCUCUUGUUUCUCUGGGUCAUCCGCUCCUCCCCACCUACCAGACAGGAGAAGGUUUCUGACUGCCCAGGCCUUUCUGCUCUCUACAUUACCCAUCGGGCUGCCUCUGG